CUCCCCCUCCCACAACUCCCGGCUCCGCCUUCCCAUAUAUAUAUAUAUAUAUAUAUAUAUAUAUAUAUAUAUAUAUAUACACAUACAGGAAGGCAGAGCCGGGAGUUGUGGGAUUGAUUG